CAUCAAUCGUCACAUUCGGACGAGACUCAUAAAUGAUUCCCAUCACGCCCAAAGGUACUCUCCUCUGCCCAAGCUCAAUACCGGAAGCCUGCUUUUGCAAUGCACUGAUCUUGCCGAUGGGAUCAGCCAAAGAAACAAUUUGCUCUAAACCUAAGGCCAUAGACUCAAUCGUCUUUGGAGUCAUGGUGAGGCGAUCAAUAAAUGCCGCAUCCUGACCAUUCGUUUUUGCUCGAGCAACAUCAAGUGCAU
rnacentral:rRNA from 1 species